rnacentral:rRNA from 1 species
AGAGUUUGAUCCUGGCUCAGAUUGAACGCUGGCGGCAGGCCUAACACAUGCAAGUCGGGCGGUAGCACAGAGAGCUUGCUCUCGGGUGACGAGCGGCGGACGGGUGAGUAAUGUCUGGGAAACUGCCUGAUGGAGGGGGAUAACUACUGGAAACGGUAGCUAAUACCGCAUAACGCCGCAAGACCAAAGUGGGGGACCUUCGGGCCUCAUGCCAUCAGAUGUGCCCAGAUGGGAUUAGCUAGUAGGUGGGGUAAUGGCUCACCUAGGCGACGAUCCCUAGCUGGUCUGAGAGGAUGACCAGCCACACUGGAACUGAGACACGGUCCAGACUCCUACGGGAGGCAGCAGUGGGGAAUAUUGCACAAUGGGCGCAAGCCUGAUGCAGCCAUGCCGCGUGUAUGAAGAAGGCCUUCGGGUUGUAAAGUACUUUCAGCGAGGAGGAAGGCGUUAAGGUUAAUAACCUCAGCGAUUGACGUUACUCGCAGAAGAAGCACCGGCUAACUCCGUGCCAGCAGCCGCGGUAAUACGGAGGGUGCAAGCGUUAAUCGGAAUUACUGGGCGUAAAGCGCACGCAGGCGGUCUGUUAAGUCAGAUGUGAAAUACCCGGGCUCAACCUGGGAACUGCAUUUGAAACUGGCAGGCUUGAGUCCUGUAGAGGGGGGUAGAAUUC